rnacentral:miRNA from 1 species
AAAUAUUAGGUUCAUGCAAAAGUAAUUGCAGCUAUUGCCAUUGAAAGUAAUGGCAAAGACCACAAUUACUUUUGCACCAACCUUAUAUAUUUCAAU